UGGGGAAUCUUGCGCAAUGGGCGAAAGCCUGACGCAGCCAUGCCGCGUGAAUGAUGAAGGUCUUAGGAUUGUAAAAUUCUUUCACCGGGGACGAUAAUGACGGUACCCGGAGAAGAAGCCCCGGCUAACUUCGUGCCAGCAGCCGCGGUAAUACGAAGGGGGCUAGCGUUGCUCGGAAUUACUGGGCGUAAAGGGAGCGUAGGCGGACAUUUAAGUCAGGGGUGAAAUCCCGGGGCUCAACCUCGGAAUUGCCUUUGAUACUGGGUGUCUUGAGUAUGAGAGAGGUAUGUGGAACUCCGAGUGUAGAGGUGAAAUUCGUAGAUAUUCGGAAGAACACCAGUGGCGAAGGCGACAUACUGGCUCAUUACUGACGCUGAGGCUCGAAAGCGUGGGGAGCAAACAGG
rnacentral:rRNA from 2 species